AGUGGUCUGCCAGUGGACGCGGUGGUAAGAAACGCAUAGGUUGAUAACAAUUGGUGGGUCAGCUCUUCAAGAUCAAGGAAUCCGGUUAUAAGCUUUCUAAAGAAUUGCUUACCUGAUCCCCGAGCAGUAGUGUUGUCUGAGGAGGAGGACUGUUUUUUAUGGCAAAUUGGAGAUAGGACUCCUGUUCCAGAUUUCUCUACUUCUCUCAUGUGGACUCACCUCUAUGAUCGGCUGCCGGAAGUGACUUGGCAUAAGUCAAUAUGGUUCAAAUGAAGGAUACCGAAGCAUGCGUUUCUUUCUUGGUUGAUAGCUCUAAACAGAUUAUCGACAAAAGACAGGAUGAGCCAAUGGGGUGUGCCAGUCUCCUCCACUUGUUUGUUGUGCGGUUCUGCUGAUGAAACUCAGCCAACAUCUGUUCUUGGAAUGUGAUUACAGCAAGGAGGUCCAUACCUUCUUCUUCUCUCCGAUCCAUCUCUCCCCUCCUCCACUGAUCAUGGAUGUUCUAGGCUGGAUCAAAGCUCCCACUCGAGAUAGUAACAUCAAUCUGAUCCUAAAGCUCACCUUUCAAGCCUCUAUCUAUAUGCUUUGGAAAGAAAGAAACUCAAGAAUGCAUAAUCAGUCUUCUCGACCGGCAGUUUCUCUCAUACAAGAGAUUCAACACCUGUUACGAGCAAAGAUGGAUAUUCUCUCUAGAGAUCAGAGGAAUCUUCCUACCACGGCCACCUUUUUAUCUACUUGGCGUCGCCUUUAUACUAGCUCGUAGGUAGAGUAUUUUUUUGAGUUUUGUAAGUGGAUUAGACGAUCUGCGUUUUUGGAGUUGUACAAAAAUAAUAUGAACAAAGAAUGUUAAGUUAAAUAUAUAUAUAUAUAUAUAUAUUAAGGGAAAUGAAAUAUUUCAAUUUAAGUUUGUUUAUUCAAAGUAUAAUGAUUAUAGUGUACGUGGAAUAUUUUGUUUAUUUUUAUAAUUUGGAACCGGUUCAUGAAAUUUUGGGGUUAUAUACUUAAAAAGAAUUUUAAUAAACAACUUUUAAAAUUUCCGAAUUUUGGGCCAAUAUUUCACUAGAAAUAGCCUUGUUUUUGUGUAUAUACAUAAACAUAAAAGAAUGAGUAUUUGUAAGUGAUUAUAAUACUAUUAUUUUCAUUUUAAUACUAAUAUAAUGUUUUCAUAUAUAUUAAGGGAAAUGAAAUAUUUCAACUUAAAUUUGUUUAUUCGUAAGUAUGAUCUACAUUAUAAUAGGGCAGUUGCAUCACUCCUGAUGCGACACGUCAGCGAUAUGUGGGUCCCACUUUUAAAAAGUGUGAAAAAAGUGUCAAGUCUAUAACUCGAACUCAGGUUAUUGAGAUCUAAACAACAACAUUUAUACCACUGAGCUAAAGGAUUCUACGUACAUUGAUGGCUGAAAUAAAUAUAUAUUUAUGAAGGUCGGAAACUUUUGCUUCUUCGAUUUUCUCUGUGGGAUCCACACUUAUUUAUUUUAUCUAAUGAUUUAAUAUAUAAAUACUUUAUAACUCACGUUUUGAAAUGAGUUUCGCUAAAAAAAAAGCCCAAUAAACCUCUUUGGUCUGUAAGCGUUCUCUUCAAUGGAAGUUUAGGGCUUUCAAUUUUUAAUCAUCGGUUCAUGACUCAUCUAAGAAACACUGAUUGGCUCUUUGAGUUUCAUGAAUCAGUUUUUCUUCUUUAGUCUCUACAUCUCCUCAUCUUUAAUAAAUUCAUCAUCGGUUCUUUUAUUUUGCCUGAUAAAUCAUGAUUGUGUGGUUUUAAUUUUCUUUGGUCAUCCUUAGCUUGCAUCCUUUGAUCUAACCAAGAAGAAGAAGAAGACAUUUAUCGUUCAGGAUGUCAUCGAGGACUCAGCUGAGUCACACGGGAGACAUACUAUCCGUUGCCUGAUUGUUCAAGAAGAGUUUAUGUGAUGUGAAACAUAUUUGUUUCUUUUCAUCAGUUGCUUUGUUUAAUCUUUUUUCCUGCAAAUAAUGAUGGUUUUGACAGUUCAUUCACGGGAGCCAAGAAGUAAAAGAAGAAGAAACCAGUGAGUGUUUGACAUUUUAUGUCUUCCUGAGUUUUUUUUUUUCCAUUCAUUAAACUUGGAUUUUGAAGAUUAUGUGUCUCACAUUCUUUUUAUUUUGAUGGUUGUUAGGUUGAAUGAAGAUUAUUGAAUAAAGAAAAUGUUGAUGCUCCUGAAGAUUUGGAGGGUACUUUAUAUUUCUUUCUCUGAUAAUUCUAGCGACAUAAAUUUGAACCUUACAGAGGGUAUAUUGCAGAGCAUCCUAAUGAUGAGGAAGAGGUGGAGGGAAUUGAUCUGCACCAGCAACGUUACCCUUGGGAGGGAAGUGACAUGGAUACUUAUACGACGAGGUAAGCAUAUCAUUAGAUGGUUUGUGGUCCAUCUUUGAGAGCCGUCGAUUGUAAGUGUCUAUCAUUUUGAAGUUGUACGACACUGAGAUGUAAAAAAUUACUAAUCACGAUUACCUUAUUAGCAGAGUUCUUUUGCACAGUUAUUAUCAAUGGAAUUAACACUGGAAAUUGAUGGUGCUAUAUUUCAUGUUCCAAAUGCUAACGCAAGCUCCAAUGUUGAUUCUCAGCUUUAACAUGCCAAAAUCACAAUGCAGUGGGUGUUGUAAGGAACCGUUUGUAAAUAAAUGUCUCAGAUGUAUAUGACUACUUAGUUUGUUGCUUUUGACAGUGAAAUCACUAAGUUUGCAAUGUGUUAGGACAGCAAAAACAUCUCAGCUGAUGGUUAUCUUUACAAUUUCAUUGGUUUCUUUUUCUUAUUAUGUUGGAUGGAUUAUUUUAGCUAACAAAUACCGCAACAGAGCGCUGGCAAUAACUCUAAUAGAUUUAUAUAUACAUGUAGAAUUGGAAGUUUGGUGAGAACAGGAACAAGUACUUUUGUCACGCUAUUGGACAGUUAUACGUCAUUUCAAGAGAAUUGAUUUCUUAUAUUUCCCAUAAUCAGUAAGAUUUUAACUGUUUUGUCUACUUUGCAUUCAUACCUCAUUCUCCAUCUAACUUCUCGGUGCUACUAUAUAAUGAUCAAGUCAUUUUCUGCACAAAUAGGCAAGUGGGGAUGUUACGUUGGGUGCUUGGUUUAUUGGGCUUGGCUAUACAAAGUCUGUUGUGACUCUAAAACUUUUAACUCAUUUAACAUUGAUUCUGAUUCUUGGGAGAAUUGCAGAUUGUGAAUGAAAGGCACAAGCAGGGAACAUAUGUGUAGUUGCGUUCGACUCGACAUGUAGCGGUAUCUGCAGAUCCGCUGAUCCCAUUGUGGAGGUUAACAUGCAAUGUGUUGACCUGAAAAUCAUUAUUUGGAAGCUACAUUUCGAGGCAUUUCCUCAACAUAUAAAUAGACCAUAGACAGAGUUUGAUAUUUAUAAUACUCAGUGAUCAUGGAGUCUGCAGAAAACAGUCCUUUUGCAUAUUCUAUAUGGAACCAAGAGAUAUGUCCUUUGUUUGAUGAUUGUAUUAUGAUAGCUACUAGCAUAGGAGAUGACUAGAGAAAGAGAAAUGAGUAUGAAACUCUUAUAUGGGUAGCUUUUGUAAACACAUUUGGGUUUAUUAACAGUUGUGACAAGCAAUUAUGUUUAUAGUAAAGGAAACCCGCCGCAGCGUCAAUAACAAAUGCGCCUGUUUUUUUGUUGUUUGGGAUUGAAAUAGCUUAUGGGUUUUCUAAAUCAAUAUAAUUGAUUUGACUAAAGCUAUCUUGGAUGACAAAAAGAAGGAUUGCAGGUUUAAUAACUUCCACUUUAGAUUUUAAUUUCAACUAAAUUAUAAUCAGUCUUUUAUCCAUAUCAUCUUAGUUAUAAUCGUAAGGAUUUAUUAGAAUAAAUAAACAGUUUCAACAAUAUUUAAUAUGUGAUUUAAUAAACAAAAGAACAUGUAGGAUUUUUAGGAUUUAAAAAGAUUGGAGACAAUAGUUAAUGAAUAUGAAAAGAAUACGAAGCAGAUGAUGAAAAAUGAUUCGAGCAAAUUAGUGGCAACACAGAGGUAAGCG